rnacentral:tRNA from 1 species
GGUUGUAGCUCAGUGGCAGAGCACUCACCUAGCAUGUGUGAGGUGCUGGGUUCAAUCCUGAGCACCA